GUGAAUCAUCAAAUUUUUGAACGCAAAUUGCACUCUCUUUGGAGAGUAUGCCUGUUUGAGGGUCAGCAAUAAUAAAAUCGGGGUGUUGCUCUUUUGUGACACAAUGUAGUUUGGGCUACCUUUGACUUUCGGGUUUUAAGAGGCUUACAAUUUAUCUUUUUUGUGUACUUUUAGACGUAUAUAAAUUUAUUUUAUCGUCUAUUCUGGUGCCAAUUAUCUAUUAGGUCCGAUCAUGUUUAUAUCAUCUCGUGCCCAUAAUUCUAAUCUUUUA
rnacentral:misc_RNA from 1 species